GGAUGUGAGGGCGAUCUGGCUGCGACAUCUGUCACUCCAUUGAUGGCCAGGGUUGAUUCGGCUGAUCUGGCUGGCGGUGUCCCCUUCCUCCCUCAGCGCUCCACGUGCGUCCCUCCCGAAGCUGCGCUCAGUGGACGAGGACGACCUUCCCCGAUAGAGGAGGACCGUUCUUGGGUCAAGGGUAAACGAGUAGCUGCGCUCCCCUCUAGAACCUCCAGACAAGCUCUCAAGGAAUCUAAGACCAAAUACAUGAACUCCUUGCUUGAACUCUACUUUGGAUGCCUGGUGGAGAAAGAGCCAGGACCAGAUCACC
rfam:Ictidomys tridecemlineatus contig047376, whole genome shotgun sequence.